GACGAACGCUGGCGGCGUGCUUAACACAUGCAAGUCGAACGGAAAGGCCUGCUUUCCCUUGUGGAUUGCGGGUACUCGAGUGGCGAACGGGUGAGUAACACGUGAGUGAUCUGCCCCCAACUUGGGUAUAAGCCUGGGAAACUGUGUCUAAUUCCCGAUAGGACUGCAGGGUGGUGCAUGUGGUGGAAAACGAUCUUCUAGUGGUUGGGGAUGAGCUCGCGGCCUAUCAGCUUGUUGGUGGGGUAAUGGCCUACCAAGGCGGGGACGGGUAGCCGGCCUGAGAGGGCGGACGGUCACAUUGGGACUGGGAUACGGCCCAGACGCCUACGGGAGGCAGCAGUGGGGAAUAUUGGACAAUGGGCGGGAGCCUGAUGCGGCGACGCCGCGUGGGGGAUGACGGCCUUCGGGUUGUAAACUCCUUUCGACCGCGAGGAAGCCACGUGGUUGGAAGGGUGGUGACGGUAGUGGUAGAAGAAGCACCGGCUAACUACGUG
rnacentral:rRNA from 1 species